rnacentral:rRNA from 1 species
GACGGAAGGUGCAAGCGUUGCUCGGAAUCACUGGGCGUAAAGGGUGCGUAGGCGGCCGUGCAAGUCUGGCGUGAAAGCCCCGGGCUCAGCCCGGGAAGUGCGCUCGAAACUGCGCGGCUCGAGUGCCGGAGGGGAGAGUGGAAUUCCUGGUGUGGCGGUGAAAUGCGUAGAUAUCAGGAGGAAUACCGGUGGCGAAAGCGACUCUCUGGACGGCAACUGACGCUGAGGCACGAAAGCGUGGGGAGCAAACAGG